CCACCGUGGAUAACCUACCUCAUAAGACUUGGGAUAACUUCCGCGGAAACCCGUAGCUAAUACCGGAUAAUAUUUUGACACCCGCAUGGUUCAAACAGUGAAAGACGGUCUUGCUGUCACUUAUAGAUGGACUCCGCGCUGCAUUAGCUAGUCUGGUAAGGUAACCGGCUUACCAAGGCAACGAUGCAUAGCCGACCUGAGAGGGUGAUCGGCCACACUGGCAACUGAGACACGGUCCAGACUCCUACGGGAGGCACGCAGUAGGGAAUCUUCCGCAAUGGGCGAAAGCCUGACGGAGCAACGCCGCGUGAGUGAUGAAGGUCUUCGGAUCGUAAACUCUGUUAUUAGGGAAGGACAUAUGUGUAAGUAACUGUGCACAUCUUGACGGUACCUAAUCAGAAAGCCACGGCUAACUACGUGCCAGCAGCCGCGGUAAUACGUAGGUGGCAAGCGUUAUCCGGAAUUAUUGGGCGUAAAGCGCGCGUAGGCGGUUUUUUAAGUCUGAUGUGAAAGCCCACGGCUCAACCGUGGAGGGUCAUUGGAAACUGGAAAACUUGAGUGCAGAAGAGGAAAGUGGAAUUCCAUGUGUACGGUGAAAUGCGCAGAGAUAUGGAGGAACACCAGUGGCGAAGGCGACUUUCUGGUCUGUAACUGACGCUGAUGUGCGAAAGCGUGGGGAUCAAACAGGAUUAGAUACCCUGGUAGUCCACGCCGUAAACGAUGAGUGCUAAGUGUUAGGGGUUUCCGCCCCUUAGUGCUGCAGCUACGCAUUAAGCACUCCGCCCUGGGGAAUACGACCC
rnacentral:rRNA from 1 species